UUAAAGGCCCUCUGGUCCUUUUUCUUUCUUAUUUUAUUUACAUUUCAGUUUUCCCCUUGUUUGUCCUGUUUUGUACCUCUCCUCCCCUUUGUAUCCUACCCUCCCCCCCCUUCAAUUACUCCUACUGUUUUGAGUGUUGUAUUGCCGGCUAGCCCUUGAGGCGCGGCAGGCAUUGCAUUGUCGCGUGUUUGUCUGACUGUAUUUUCCUUGUCCCUAUCCACCUUGUAUUUGUUAGUUCACCCCCUAAAAACUGCCUUUUGUUUCUGUUUCUUGUUUUGUGUCGCCAACUGGGGGACCUUUGCUGGCCGGCUUGCUGGCUGGUUGGCUUGGCCUGGUCUGCUGGCGGGGCUCGCUAGCUGGCUAGCUUGGCCUGGUCUGCUGGUGGGGCUCGCUGGCUGGUGGGCCUGGUCUGCUGGUGAGGCUUGCUAGCUGGUUUGGCCUGGUCUGCUGGCGAGGCUUGCUAGCUGGUUGGCUUGGCCUGGUCUGCUGGUGAGGCUCGCUAGCUGGUUGGCUUGGCCUGGUCUGCUGGUGAGGCUGGCUAGCUCUCUCGGCCCUCAAGCUUGGCAGGGUUUUGUGUUGGUCAGUGCCCCUUUUGUUUUCUCCUUAUUUUCCCCUCACCUAAAUUUGUUUGUUAGUUUGCCCCUCCCCCGCACCUUGUUUGGUUUUUGUCUAUUUUUGUCCUUCCCCUUCGUGUCUUUAAUUAUAAAAAUAUAAAAAUAUCCCAAAAAAAUAUCCUUGUGUCCCUUCCCAUUGUUGAUAAGAUUAGUUUGGUGCUGUGCUAGAUAGUUUGUUGUGUGUCCCGUGCUACUGGUAGGACCUGUUCAGCACAGCCUGGCUGAGCCUGCUAGUUCCUCGGCUGUUUUACACCCCCCUCCUUCUUCUCCCUCCCCCCCUCUUCCCCCUUUCACUGGUGUUGGGCUGUAAAGGGAGUGGGCCUCCAUCAUGUCAGCAGCACAGGCUGGCAUGAGGAGGCACCAUGCAGUGCGCCUCCUUCUAAAGGAGAAGGGAGGAAAAAUAAUGGAGUUAUCCCGAUUGGAUUUCUCCAGAAAAUUCCUCCAGAAAGAGCUCGGCUUUCAUCCCGCGCAGGUAAACUGCAUCUUAGCCCUCCCCUAUAGGAAGGGCUUCGAUGUCAGUUUUGCCAACGCCAGCUUCCUGAGGGAGUUCUGGGGGAAACUCCAGAACGCCCUGAACACCCAGGGGUCCCUCACAGCAAUGUUUGAGGUGACCAAGCUGACGGAUAAUAGCAUUAAAACCGUUAUUAUCCGCAUGUACAAUGAAACCGUACAGCCGGAGGACGUUGCAGUAUGGCUGGACAGGUACUGCAACGUGAAGGGCCCCCUGAUCCAGGUAAAAGACCUCGAUGGGAUCUGGACAGGGGCCUGGAGGGUCACUGUCCAGCAAAGGGAGGACCCUGGGGGCUAUGGUGGGUUGAAAGCCAUCCCAUCCACCAUAGUCCUCGGAGAGAACAGGGGCCAUGUUCACUACCAGGACCAGCCCAAGCUGUGCCGUAAGUGUGGUGAACAUGGCCACCUUGCAGACGCCUGUCAGAAGGUCGUCUGCAUGAAGUGCCGGGAGGUGGGCCACCGCUACGAGGAGUGCACGAACGGAAGGUCGUGCAACCUCUGUGGCGAACGGUCCCACCUCAUCCGCGACUGCCCCUCCUCCUGGGCCAACAGGGCCAAGGCGGGAAGGAGGGAGUGGGCGGCCGCGGACCGGGCUUCCGAGCGCCAGAGGGCUGGAACGGCAGUUGCCGAGGUGGUAGUGGAGGAGCCGGUGGUGGUGGAGGAGGAGGCAGUAGUGGUGGUGGAGGAGAUAGUUGUGGAGCCGGUGGUGGUGGUGGUGGCUGUAGUGGAGGGCGCGGAAGGUGUAGUGGUGGAAGAAGUGGGAGGAGAGGACAAAACCCUCCCCACCCCAAUCCCCCUGCCCCAGACUAAUGUGACCCCUGAAGGAGAAAGGGCCGAGAAAGACGGCUCCGGAGAGAUGUUCAGUAAAAGCUCCCCAAGUGGGUCAGAUAUUAUAGGGUCGGUGUCGGAAAGCACCAUGGAGACUGUGUCAGAAGGUACGGGAGAGGAGGGGGAGAUUCUGAAGGAACACCUCCCCCUACGUAAAAGAAACGCUGAGGAGCUCUCUGACCCCGAACAGGGUGAGGAGAAAAAAGGAAAGGUGGAGUGGGAGAGCUCUCAGGGGGAGGAAGAACCCAGAACCUUCCCCUCCAACUCCCCCAAUCAAGUCUCCUUUUUAAGCCCUAUUUUAACCUCCUCUCCCCUCCAAACUCCCUUACCCCGGAGGGAGAGAGAGAAAGUCCCUGAGAACUAACCCCCUUUUAACUGCUCAAUGCUUCUUCUUUUAGCACUGUUUUUACUCACCCCUUUUAUGGCUUUUAAAAUCACCACUAUAAAUGUGAGGAGCGUAAGAACGGUAACAAGAGCACAGUCGGUUUUAUCCUUUUUAGAAAGGUUUAACUCUGAUGUGUUUUUACUACAGGAGUGUGGUCUACCCUUUUUAUCCUCUUACAGGAAAUGGGAGGAUAAGUGGCAGCACGGGCCCUCCAUUUGGAGUGGUUCCAAUUUUAACAAGAACGACGGUGUUGCCAUUUUAAUCAAGACCCCACAGGUGGUGGUGAAGGGGAGCACGGUGGUGGAGCGGGAACCAGUAUGUCCAGUGCGCGGGCUCGCUACAGGUGAGCCCACAACGGUUUGGCGCAACGUGGCCCAUCCUGCUCUACUGAAUCGGCAUCGGGACCUGUCCUGGAUGGUCGCCCACGAGAUCCUCCCGGUCAGGGCCGUUAUGCACUCACGGGGCAUGGCGAGGACAUCCGCGUGCCCCCGAACAGGCUGCGGCCAAGAAGAAUCGGUGAGGCACAUGCUCUGGGAGUGCAGAGCCGCCAGGGACCUGUGGAAGGAAGCAGGCCCCCUGAUUACCUCGUGUCUGCCAGCAGGGGAGGACCUAACACCUCAGCUCGUGCUAUAUGGGGUGGGCCGAAGGCCCAUUUCAUCGAAGACCUUCACCAAGCUCUGGCCCACCCUCACGUGCCUGAAGGAAGCACUGUGGUCCUCCCGCAACCUGCUGGUAGCGAAAAACGUAGAGACCACCCCCCAGGCAGUGGCCAUGGUAGCCACGGAAGCCCUGGGGUGGUACGAAAGGAAGGGGGCCUCGACCCCAGGCGAAGGGUCCCCCACAACACCCUAGGUCCCGGCGGCCACGGCCUGACAGCGCUGCGGCGCCUAGGGCGAUGCGCCUAGGGGAGGGAUCUCCUCUGGGCCCCAAAGGAUGGGACGAUGGUCUAUUCAGAGGAGCAGGAUGAGGUGAGCUUGAUAAAGACUCACCCCGCUCCUGUACAAAGGACUGAAGACAGCUUUUUAACAAAGUGGCUUUUUAACAUGUUUUUCAUGUCUUAAAAAUGUUUUACCUUUUUAGAUCAUUAGUACACAUUUUAAAUGGCUUCUACAGAUUUGAUAUUUUUACAAGGAAAGUACUUUUACUCAUGGUUGUUUUAACUAAUUGAUUUUAACAACAUGUACUUUUUAACAAAUUCAAAUGUAACUCUCAAAUGCUAUGUUUUAUGCCUUGUUGCCGUUUUUAUGUGUGUAAAUGAUGUAAAAAAUGUAUGAGCUGUUUUUAAAGGAAUUGUGCCAAUAAAACUUUUCCAAAAGAAAAAAAAAAA